rnacentral:rRNA from 1 species
AGAUCGAAUUGUAAACUUUAGAGUCGUUGUCCAGACCAGCCGAGUAAAUAAGUUCCUUGGAAUAGGACAUCAUGGAGGGUGAGAAUCCCGUCUUUGGCUUGAGCAUUGGUCUUUUGUGAUGCGACUUCAACGAGUCAGGUUGUUUGGGAAUGCAGCCUUAAUUGGGUGGUAAAUCUCACCUAAAGCUAAAUAUUGGCGAGAGACCGAUAGCGAACAAGUACCGUGAGGGAAAGAUGAAAAGAACUUUGAAAAGAGAGUUAAACAGUAUGUGAAAUUGCUAAAAGGGAACCGUUUGAAGUCAGUCUGGCUGGUCUGCAAUCAGCUUCAACUUUGGUUGGAGUGCACUUGUAGGCCAUUUUUGCCUGCCAACAACAGUUUGUUCUGCAGCAAAAAGGUGUUGAGAAUGUAGCUUUCUCUUCGGAGGAAGUGUUAUAGCUCUUCGCGAAAUACUGUGGUUCAGACUGAGGCUUGCAGUGAAUGCUAUUUUGGCUUUGGGGAUGGAUUGCUCAGUGCUUUGCUUGG